rnacentral:rRNA from 1 species
UACGUAGGGGGCUAGCGUUGUCCGGAAUCAUUGGGCGUAAAGCGCGUGUAGGCGGUCCGGUAAGUCCGCUGUGAAAGUCGGGGGCUCAACCCUCGGAUGCCGGUGGAUACUGUCGGGCUUGAGUACGGAAGAGGCGAGUGGAAUUCCUGGUGUAGCGGUGAAAUGCGCAGAUAUCAGGAGGAACACCAGUUGCGAAGGCAGCUCGCUGGGACGUUACUGACGCUGAGACGCGAAAGCGUGGGGAGCAAACAGG